UACGUAGGGGGCAAGCGUUGUCCGGAAUCAUUGGGCGUAAAGCGCGCGUAGGCGGCCCGGUAAGUCCGUUGUGAAAGUCAAAGGCUCAACCUUUGAACGCCGAUGGAUACUGCCGGGCUAGAGUCCGGAAGAGGCGAGUGGGAUUCCUGGUGUAGCGGUGGAAUGCGCAGAUAUCAGGAGGAACACCAAUAGCGAAGGCAGCUCGCUGGGACGGUACUGACGCUGAGACGCGAAAGCGUGGGGAGCAAACAGG
rnacentral:rRNA from 1 species